GGUGCCAGCAGCCGCGGUAAUCCAGCUCCAAUAGCGUAUAUUAAAGGUUGUUGCAGUUAAAAAGCUCGUAGUUGAAUUUCGGGGUUAGUAGGUUGGUCAUGCCUCUGGUAUGCACUGGCCUCACUGAUUCCUCCUUCCUGAUGAGCCGUAAUGCCAUUAAUUUGGUGUUGCGGGAAUUUGGACUGUUACUUUGAAAAAAUUAGAGUGUUUAAAGCAAGCUAACGCUUGAAUACAUUAGCAUGGAAUAAUGAAAUAGGACGUUCGAUCCUAUUUUGUUGGUUUCUAGGGAUUGACGUAAUGAUUAAUAGGGAUAGUUGGGGGGCAUUAGUAUUCAAUUGUCAGAGGUGAAAUUCUUGGAUUUAUUGAAGACUAACUACUGCGAAAGCAUUUGCCAAGGAUGUUUUCAUUAAUCAAGAACGAAAGUUAGGGGAUCGAAGACGAUCAGAUACCGUCGUAGUCUUAACCAUAAACUAUGCCGACUAGGGAUCGGAUGAUGUUAAUUUUUUAAUGACUCAUUCGGCGCCUUACG
rnacentral:rRNA from 1 species